rnacentral:rRNA from 1 species
GACGAACGCUGGCGGCGUGCUUAACACAUGCAAGUCGAACGAAAAGAGGGAAAGAGCUUGCUCUUUCCGGAAUUGAGUGGCAAACGGGUGAGUAACACGUAAACAACCUGCCUUCAGGAUGGGGACAACAGACGGAAACGACUGCCAAUACCGAAUAAGUUCCAAGAGCCGCAUGGCCCAUGGAAGAAAAGGUGGCCUCUACCUGUAAGCUAUCGCCUGAAGAGGGGUUUGCGUCUGAUUAGCUGGUUGGAGGGGUAACGGCCCACCAAGGCGACGAUCAGUAGCCGGUCUGAGAGGAUGAACGGCCACACUGGAACUGAGACACGGUCCAGACUCCUACGGGAGGCAGCAGUGGGGAAUCUUCCGCAAUGGGCGAAAGCCUGACGGAGCAACGCCGCGUGAGUGAUGACGGCCUUCGGGUUGUAAAACUCUGCGAUCCGGGACGAAAGGGCAGAGUGCGAAGAACAAACUGCAUUGACGGUACCGGAAAAGCAAGCCACG